UACGUAGGUCCCGAGCGUUGUCCGGAUUUAUUGGGCGUAAAGCGAGCGCAGGCGGUUUGAUAAGUCUGAAGUUAAAGGCUGUGGCUCAACCAUAGUUCGCUUUGGAAACUGUCAAACUUGAGUGCAGAAGGGGAGAGUGGAAUUCCAUGUGUAGCGGUGAAAUGCGUAGAUAUAUGGAGGAACACCGGUGGCGAAAGCGGCUCUCUGGUCUGUAACUGACGCUGAGGCUCGAAAGCGUGGGGAGCGAACAGGAUUAG
rnacentral:rRNA from 1 species